GAGAAAGUAUGCAAGAACUGCUAACUCCUGCCACCAUAUGUAACAAUAUGGCUUUCUCA
rnacentral:tRNA from 1 species